UUGCAGCCACAUCACGUUGAAACACUGGUCCCUCUGCAAUCACUGAAGUUAAGCAACGUCAAGCUAGGUUAUUACUUAGAUGGGUGACCGCCUGGUAUAUACCAGGUGCUGUAAG